GCUGUGGCUCAGUGGCAGAGCAUCUCCUUUGCAUGCAGAAGAUCCCAGCUUCAAAUCCUCACAUCUCCA